rnacentral:misc_RNA from 1 species
UCCCUCUCCUCCAAGAGACACACACACUUCCACACACACACAGUCUUCUCCGACCAGUGGCCACCGGUUGAACGGCGUCUUGACGAUUUUGACUUUGCGUAGCGUGUUGUGUUGCAUGUUGUUCGGUGCCAGGGACCUCGCCUGCUGUUUGUCUUGAGCAAGCUCAGGUUUAGUCGCCUCAUCAUGGACUCCAUUCCUGCCUCCCCUUUGCCAUGUCAGGAGGAAAGGAAGUUCCCCACCAACACAGUCUGCUCGGUGCAUAUUCAAUGGAUUGAAAACGAUGGAUCUUUGUGGGUCCUACUGAGUCCAGAAGUUGAAACUAUGGAGUAUGUGUCCCAAUAUUUAGCGGACUGUGCCAAUUUUGAUGGAUUGAAUUCCAUAGCAGUUGGUGAUGUUGUAUCUGCUUUUGAUGCUGAUGAUGGUUGCUGGUACCGAGCUAAAAUCUUGAAGACUGACCCAUUGACUAUUAAAUUUAUUGACUUUGGAAAUGUGGCUCGAGUAACCCCUGAGUUUGUGGCUGCCUUGCCACCUGACCUCUCAUUGAUUCACGAACUGGCCAUUCAUGUUAAACUAGCCCCUGAAUCAAAUAUAAUUCCGUGCCUUGGGGAUGAGCUUCUAGUAAAUUAUGUCACAUCAGAUAAUGGAAUAGCUGUUGUUAGUGUUGAAGUACCGGUGGAAACACAGGCGCCGGUUGAAUUGGUCGCGCCACUGCCACCUGCUUUACCAGGAGUGGUGGUGACAGAACACAUUUCUGACACUGUGCUUAAAGAAACGAUGCCAACGGUAUCUAGUGAGCUGAAAACUUCUGACGCAGGUUUUGAUUUGGAUAGUGAAACCAAAGACAUUAUUUUCGAGUCAAGUAUUGAUUCAAAUGAAACAAUUGUCGUCACAGAGUCAGUGACUGCAGAUGUGUGCAACUCUAUGCAGUCUGGAUUGCUUGAUAGCAGUGAAGUGUUGGCGUCAGUGCCAGUGGCAACUGUUCUUGCGUUGGACUCAGAGAAGCCACCACAGGCUGCCGAUGAGGGUAACUCUAUGCAGUCUGGAUUGCUUGAUAGCAGCGAAGUGUUGGCGUCAGUGCCAGUGGCAACUGUUCUUGCGUUGGACUCAGAGAAGUCACCACAGGCUGCCGAUGAGGGUAACUCUAUGCAGUCUGGAUUGCUUGAUAGCAGCGAAGUGUUGGCGUCAGUGCCAGUGGCAACUGUUCUUGCGUUGGACUCAGAGAAGUCACCACAGGCUGCCGAUGAGGGUAACUCUAUGCAGUCUGGAUUGCUUGAUAGCAGCGAAGUGUUGGCGUCAGUGCCAGUGGCAACUGUUCUUGCGUUGGACUCAGAGAAGUCACCACAGGCUGCCGAUGAGGGUAACUCUAUGCAGUCUGGAUUGCUUGAUAGCAGCGAAGUGUUGGCGUCAGUGCCAGUGGCAACUGUUCUUGCGUUGGACUCAGAGAAGUCACCACAGGCUGCCGAUGAGGGUAACUCUAUGCAACCUGAAUUGCCUGAUACCAACGCUCCUCCGGAUGAUGUGUUGGGUUUCCUGGGGGUCUCCAGCUCGGCAGUGGCAACAGCUGCGCCUGUUGAAGCAACUUUGACACCCAUAUCAAUUGACAAGGAAAUUUCUACUGUACAAGGAGUGGCUGCAGCAACUGACUUCCCAAUGAAAACAACUCUUCCAACUGCACCAGGUGAUCAGGAGCUGUCACUGCUACAUCCACCUAAAAAACAGCCUGAAUUUUGCUCAGAUUCUUCCAAGCCAAUUUUUGCUUCACCUGGAGAGCCUGUGGUUGAUACAUUUGUUUACUCGCCCAUGGAAGCAGCCCUGCAGACCAUGGCAAGUGGUCAGGAGCUUAUAGUGCCAUGUCCGCCUCCAGAACUACAAGAUGCUAAAUCAGAUUCUUAUGAACAAGUUUCUGUUCUACUAAGAAAAGGUGUGGCUGAUCCAGUUUGCAUAACACCUAAAGAAAGGAGAAUGGGCAGCAUUUCCAAUAAUAUUCGUUCUGAUUCACCCAAAACAGUUUCUGUACCACCAGCUGUUCCAACUGAAGUAGUUUCUGGAUCAUCUCUUGAAGAUGUGUCUGAUGUGAUUUCUCAUGCCUUUGAAAAGGGUAUAACUAAAGUAGUUUCCAACCCGCCGAAAAUUGUCAAUGGGUCACUUAAUAGUGUCCUAAAUGCUUCAGCUAAAGCUUUCACCAUAUCUGAAACCCCCUCAUCUCAUGGACAGCAUGUCAGGAAGAAAGAAACAAAAAGGGAUACAUCUGAGUUUUCUCAUCACUUUGAGUUGAGUAUCAUUCAAGAACAACUACGACUUCAAAUGUUACAACUUCAAAAGAGAAUUGAACAGGACGUUGCCUAUCAGAUAAAUUGUCUUAAGCAAGAAAUGUCCAGACAGAUUGGACAUCAAAUGGCAACUUUAUUUGCUGAUGUUGCUAUGAUAAAGAACGACAUUCAGAUGGGCAGAUGUAGUGAGCGUCGUCCACCAAUGAAUUCUGUGCAAUGUCAGAAUUCAAAUCUCUCUACCAACGAGCAGCCCUUCCAACAUCAAGCCUCAGCCCUUCAAAAAAAUACUCAUCAAUUUUAUGGCUAUGAAACUGCAAGUCAUCUAGGAAUGGAUUAUUCUUACUCUCAUGAUCUGCCAUCUGAGCUGCAGUCCUUCAAAGCUAAUGACAGGGAAACCCACUUAAACAAACUGAAAGUGGACUCUAUUGAGCCUUCCACGAGUGAAACGAUUGAGAAGCCAAGUGUUCUGAAGUCUGCCUCAAAACUUGUUUAUGUAACCAAAAUUGCAAAGGAUGUAACUUUGGAUCAUUUGUUUACAUUGUUUGGUCUUUAUGGUAAUGUCCUAAAGAUUAAAAAAAUGUCACCUGUAUCCGCUGUGAUUGAAAUGGGUGACCCUGCACAAGCUGAUCUGGCUGUCCGCUAUCUUAAUUUUGCCCCUUUGAAGGGUUUAAAGCUGCAUGUAAACCUGUCCAAAUUUUCCACUAUUUUUACAAAUCGUGAAGACUAUGAAGCAGGUCUUGUUAAGGACUUCUCCAAAUCAAGGCUGAACCGCUUUAAGGCUGGCCGGAUGGAUUGGGAUGCUGAUAAAUUAUCCCCCCCUUGCAACAGAUUAAGAACAAAUGAAAUCUACCUCUGAUGAUAAGAUAAAAGAUAUAUUCAAAAGUAAAGGACAUCAUGUUGCGAUAAACUCCGUACCAGGGAGGACUUCUGAAACAAAGACGUUGUAUAUUUCUCUCAACUCAACAGAAGAAGCCAUAAAUGCUUUGUGUGU